UACGUUCCCGGACCUUGUACACACCGCCCGUCAAGCCAUGGAAGUUGGGAGGACCUGAAGACAGUUGCUGUAAGGCGCUGUUUAGGGUUAAACUGAUAACUAGGGCU
rnacentral:rRNA from 1 species